AGUGAACGCUGGCGGUAGGCCUAACACAUGCAAGUCGAACGGCAGCACAGUAAGAGCUUGCUCUUACGGGUGGCGGGUGGCGGACGGGUGAGGAAUACAUCGGAAUCUACUUUUUCGUGGGGGAUAACGUAGGGAAACUUACGCUAAUACCGCAUACGACCUACGGGUGAAAGCAGGGGAUCUUCGGACCUUGCGCGAUUGAAUGAGCGGAUGUCGGAUAACCUAGUUGGGGGGGUAAGGGCCCCCCAAGGCGACGAGCCGUAGCGGGUCUGAGAGGAUGUUCACCGACACAGGAACUGAGAGACGGGCCAAACACCUACAGGAGGCGGCGGUGGGGAGUAUAGGGCAAUGGGCGCAAGCGUGUGCCAGCGAUACCGCGUGGGUGAAGAGGGCCUUCGCGUGGUAAAGCCCUUUUGUGGGGAAAGAGAAGCAGCGGGUUAAUUCCCCGCUGUUCUGACGGUACCCAAAGAGUAGGCACCGGCAAAUACGGG
rnacentral:rRNA from 1 species